rnacentral:rRNA from 1 species
UAUCUCUGUAGAGUCUGCAUAUCAAUAAGCGGAGGAAAAGAAACUAACUAGGAUUCCCUCAGUAACGGCGAGUGAAGCGGGAAGAGCUCAAAUUUGAAAUCUUCAAGGUUUUACCUUGACGAAUUGUAGUUUAAAGAAGUGUUUUCUGUUGGUAGUUUUGGUAAAAGUUCUUUGGAAUAGGACAUCAUAGAGGGUGAGAAUCCCGUAUUUGACCAUUACUUCCAGCUUUGUGAUACACUUUCAAAGAGUCGGAUUGUUUGGGAAUGCAGUCCAAAAUGGGUGGUAAAUUUCAUCUAAAGCUAAAUAUUGGCGAGAGACCGAUAGCGAACAAGUACCGUGAGGGAAAGAUGAAAAGAACUUUGAAAAGAGAGUUAAACAGUACGUGAAAUUGUCAAGAGGGAAGCGUUUGACACCAGUGUUGUUUUCUCGAAAAUCAAUUAAAAAAAGUUGGAUUUUGUAUUGUUAAGACCUUAUCAGCUUACUGUACUCUUUUCUUGCUUUUUUUAAUGCACUUUUCGUUUAACAAGUCAACAUCAAUUUCUUUUGUUGUAAAAGAGUCAUUGGAAGGUGGCUUUCACUUCGGUGAAAGUGUUUAUAGCCUUUGGCUUCUGCAAUCGGAGAGAUUGAGGUCUGCAGCGUAGAUCCUUCGGGGCUAGAUACGUAGAUGCUAAGUUAUAGUUUUUUAUAGACAACUUGUUGACUAUAAUUAAUCAUGUAGCUUACUCGUUUGCGCUAUUUUACCUACGCUUAGGAUGUUGACGAUCAGCUGAGCGCG